AUACGGAGGGGGUUAGCGUUGUUCGGAAUUACUGGGCGUAAAGCGUACGUAGGCGGAUCGGAAAGUAAGGGGUGAAAUCCCAGGGCUCAACCCUGGGACUGCCUCUUAAACUCCCGGUCUUGAGUUCGAGAGAGGUGAGUGGAAUUCCUAGUGUAGAGGUGAAAUUCGUAGAUAUUAGGAGGAACACCAGUGGCGAAGGCGGCUCACUGGCUCGAUACUGACGCUGAGGUACGAAAGUGUGGGGAGCAAACAGGAUUAGAAACCCUAGUAGUCC
rnacentral:rRNA from 1 species